UCGAACGCGUCUUGGUUAUUGAUGUUAGAUGCUUGCAUUUAACUGAUUUAACACUGAGACGAGUGGCGAACUGGUGAGUAACACGUGGGUAACCUGCCCUUGAAGUAGGGGAUAACACUUGGAAACAGGUACUAAUACCGUAUAACAACCAAAACCACCUGGUUUUGGUUUAAAAGAUGGCUUCGGCUAUCACUUUAGGAUGGACCCGCGGCGUAUUAGCUUGUUGGUAAGGUAACGGCCUACCAAGGCAAUGAUACGUAGCCGACCUGAGAGGGUAAUCGGCCACAUUGGGACUGAGACACGGCCCAAACUCCUACGGGAGGCAGCAGUAGGGAAUCUUCCACAAUGGACGAAAGUCUGAUGGAGCAACGCCGCGUGAGUGAUGAAGGGUUUCGGCUCGUAAAACUCUGUUGUUGGAGAAGAACAGGUGUGAGAGUAACUGUUCACAUCUUGACGGUAUCCAACCAGAAAGCCACGGCUAACUACGUGCCAGCAGCCGCGGUAAUACGUAGGUGGCAAGCGUUGUCCGGAUUUAUUGGGCGUAAAGCGAGCGCAGGCGGUUUCUUAGGUCUGAUGUGAAAGCCUUCGGCUUAACCGGAGAAGUGCAUCGGAAACCAGGAGACUUGAGUGCAGAAGAGGACAGUGGAACUCCAUGUGUAGCGGUGAAAUGCGUAGAUAUAUGGAAGAACACCAGUGGCGAAGGCGGCUGUCUGGUCUGUAACUGACGCUGAGGCUCGAAAGCAUGGGUAGCGAACAGGAUUAGAUACCCUGGUAGUCCAUGCCGUAAACGAUGAGUGCUAAGUGUUGGAGGGUUUCCGCCCUUCAGUGCUGCAGCUAACGCAUUAAGCACUCCGCCUGGGGAGUACGACCGCAAGGUUGAAACUCAAAGGAAUUGACGGGGGCCCGCACAAGCGGUGGAGCAUGUGGUUUAAUUCGAUGCU
rnacentral:rRNA from 1 species